CCAGUUGCCAACGUACCUCAUUCUUCCUGGACAUGGGACAAGAACUCACCACAUGGUGUGACUGAAAGAGCUGUAACACAAACAGGGCUGAAACAUGCCCCCCAACCCCCCACUCACCGUGUUGUGGGCAACAAGAAGGAGAGAAGACCUGUGGCCCUUCAGGAAGCCCAGACAUAGGGGGUCCCUGAGCCAGGGCUGUGACACCUUCUUUGGAGCUCUGUGGUUCCUGGUAUUGCCAAGCUUCCAGGCACCACCAUGCUCCCCUCGUCCAGACAUAGGUAACCACAGAGGAAGCCGCCUGCAGUACAUCUUAUCCAGAUGCAGCCUUGCACAGAGUUGGUGCCUGUGCCAGUGCCUGGAGCUGCCUGUCCCAUAGCAGCAGCCAGUUCACCUGGCUGUGCACAGUGGCUGGACCCCACACUCACUCCACUUUGCUACUGGCUCACCCUUGUCAGGUGUAAGAUCCCGGCCAGUAGCACGAGCUGAGUGCAGCCUGCCAGGCCAAGUGGGCAGAAUGAGCCAAGUGGGCCUGAGCAAAAACUCAGGCAAAGGCACCACCAGCCACAGAGGUUUCCAACUGCAAAAGCAACAACCUAAGGAUCCUGAGGCAGCUUGAGAGACAAUGGAGAGUAAGACAGCAAUAGACAGAGGCAGGGCUGUGGAGCGACGCAGGCCUCCAAAGAAGAGAGAAGUUUCCAUUCCUGAAGCCUUCUGGAAUCUGAAGUUUGCUGCCUGGACUGCCCGGUUUUAGUGGAAGAAAGCUUGCAUGGGUCUCUGUUUGUUGCUACCAAAGACUCUUGGCUAGAGCAACGUGGAUGAAGGAAGGUUGAACCAAAGACAUGACAGUGGUUCCGAGGGGCUGGGCAGCCUUUGUGGCCUCCCACCACCACCUCAAUUAAGCCAAGCGGUGGAUGAAGAGAAGCUUCUGGGCUGUCAAGUGCCUGCUUCUUAAAAUCACUUUGGAGAACCCAGGGAGUGCAGGAGGCAAAGCAGCGCCCCCUGCGUGAGUCAUCCCCAUUUGAGCAGCCUUCCCACCCCGACCUGAGACACAAGGCCACACUUAGCAUCGAGGGAGACCAAGUGAUGUACCCAGCUUCAAGCCAGGCUUUGUUACAGAGAAGAAAGGAAGGGUAGAUGUUGGCAUAGCAACCAGCAUUGUCUGCAACUCUCUCUGCUGCGUGUCUCCCCAUCAGAUGCCCCCUGGGAACAGGGUGCCUGAGUGCGACUCUUAGGCCUGUAUGAUAAAACUGGACUUCUAAUUCCCUCUUUCACGUAAAUCAGAGCCAGUCAUAUCAUUUCUGCCCACAACCCAACAGCCGUAGCGAGCCACAGGGCCCUACCUGACUGCAGAUGGCUGGACGCAUGGGGAGCAGAAGGAAGGUAAUGAACAACACCACCUCCACCAGCCUUUAACAGGAGUGACGUGGCUCUACGUGCGCUUACAGAAAAGGCCUUCAAGACCUGCCGUUAGCUGGAAAAAUAAGAAGAGCAAGCUACAAAACUCACAUAGAAUAUGAUCCCACUUGGUUCUGGAGGUGAAACAUCUAAAAUCGAGGUGUCACCAGGGCUGCAUUCCUUCUGGAGGCUUCAGGGGAAUCUGUUUCCUGUGUUUUUCAGCCUCCAGAGGCUGCCCGAGUUCCUUGGCUUGUGGCCACUUCCUCCAUCUUCACUAGCAGAGGAGCAUCUUCAGAGUACCCUCCCUCCCUCCCUCCCUCCCUCCCUUCCUUCCUUCCUUCCACUCUCUCUCUCUCUCUUUUGACAGGGUCUCGCUCUGUCACCCAGACUAUCAUAGCAUACUGAAAUAUGAAUCCACUGGGCUCGAGUGAUCCCUGUCUCAGGGGAUCACUACCUUCCGAGUAGCCAGAACUCCAGGUGUAUGUCACCAUGCCCAGCUAAUUUUUCAAUUUUUGGUAGAGAUGGGAGUCUUGCUUUGUUGCCCAAGCUGUUCUCGAAAUCCUGGGUUCAAUCAGUCCUCCCACCAUGGGCUCCCAAAGGGCUUGGAUUACAGGUGUGAGCCACCACACCCGGCCUUCACAUCUCUUUCUUUCUGACUCUGAUCUCCUGUGUAGCUCAUAGGAAUAUGCCACCCCAAAAUACACUAUGCCGGCAUGAAGAUUAAUUUGAGCUAGAGGCAAAUGAUAAUCAGUAGAUGAAGAAAAACAUCUUCUUGGUGCUUCUCUUACCUGACAAAAAAGCAGAAACUUCUGGGGAAUGAGGAUUGCUAUACAUUUCCUCUCCCAGGGAAGCUUUAUGGCCAUGUAGAAGAUGGAAAGUCAGCAUCCAGAUGGACCUGCCCAGGUAGCCCUACUCUUCUGUUAGCUUCCCUCAUCUGGUCACCUUCUCACAGUUUGUCACCCUUGGAAGCCUAAAACCCUCUUCCUUUGUCUCAUCGCUUCUCUAAAAAUGUAUUGUUCCUUUGCUAAAAUGCUGCAUAAACCCAGUUCUUCUUUUUUUUUUUUUUUUUUUGAGAUAGAGUCUCAAGCUGUCACCCAGGCUGGAGUGCAGUGGCACAAUCUCGUCUCACUGCAAACUCCACCUCCUGGGUUCAAGUGAUUCUCCUGCCUCAGUCUCCUGAGUAGCUGGGAUUACAGGCUCAUGCCACCACACCCAGCUAAUUUUUGUAUUUUUAGUAGAGAUGGUGUUUCACCAUGUUGGCCAGGCUGGUCUCAAACUCCUGACUUCAGGUGAUCCACCCACCUCGGCCUCCCAAAGUGCUGGGAUUACAGGCAUGAGCCAUCAUGCCCGGCCUACAUAAACCCAGUUCUAAAUAUCCCUCUGAGUUACUCAUCACUAAGGUUUCUCCCAAGUGAUGUGUACUGCACUUUCUAACAAUCUGUUUGUUUUUCUCUUGUUAGUCUGUCUUUUGUCAGCCUAAUUUUCAGGACCCCAGCUGGAAAACUUAAGAUGAGCAGAGGAAAAAGAUGCCCUCACACACCUGCCUCACUCUUUUUUUUUUUUUUUUUUUUUUUUUUCAGAUAGAGUCUCGAUCUGUCACCCAGGCUGGAGUGCAGUGGCACGAUCUCGGCUCACCGCAAGCUCCGCCUCCCGGGUUCUUGCCAUUCUCCUGCCUCAGCCUCCCAAGUAGCUGGGACUACAGGCGCCCGCCACUGCGCCCAGCUAAUUUUUUGUAUUUUUAGUAGAGACAGAGUUUCACGUGUUAGCCGGGAUGGUCUCAAUCUCCUGACCUCAUGAUCCGCCCUCCUCAGCCUCCCAAAGUGCUGGGAUUACAGGCGUGAGCCACCAAGCCCCGCCUGCCUCACUCUUAUAAGGACCCUUGUGACGACAUUGGGCCCACCAUAUAAUACAAGAUAAUCUCCCAGCUCAAGGUCUUUAAGUUAAUCACAUCUGCAAAGUCCCUUUUGCCUUGUGAGGCAACAUAUUCACAGGUUCCAGGGAUUAGGAUGUGGACAUUUGGGAGGAGGGCAUUAUUCUGCCCACAACAAUGGCCCGUGGCCAUAGAAACUUCUGGAGAGGUUUGUUAUACAGCUUUGGGGUGGGGAGAGUUCCUUUAAGGAAAAGUAUACUCAAUUUUGACUACAAGUUAAGGAUGAAAGUAAAUAUUAUUGGUGGUGAGAAAGCAAAUCACAAAUACCACAGACUGGCCGGGGGUGGUGGCUCACGUCUGUAAUCCCAGCACUUUGAGAGGCUGGGGUGGGCAAAUCACCUGAGGUUAGGAGUUCAAGACCAGCCUGGCCAACAUGGUAAAACCCGUUUCUACUAAAAAUACAAAAAUUAGCCAGGUGUAGUGGCGCACACCUGUAGUCCCAGCUACUUGGGAGGCUGAGACAGGAGAAUUGCUUGAACCCAGGAGGCAGAGGUUGCAGUGAGCCAAGAUCACACCACUACACACCAGACAGAAUGAGAUUCUGUCUCAAAAACAAACAAACAAAUAUGACAAACUUCAAAAAAAAUAGGAAAAUAUUAUAUACGUCACACAUUAUAUAUAUGAUAUGGUUUGGCUCUGUGUCCCUCCCCCAAAUCUCACCUUGAAUUGUAAUAAUCACCAUGUGUCAAGAGUGGGGCCAGGUGGAGAUAAUUGAAUCACGGGAACAGUUUCCCCCAUGCUGUUCUCGUGAGAGUGAGUGAGUUCUCAUGAGAUCUGAUGUUUUUAUAAGGGGCUUCUCCCUUCACUGGAUCCUCAUUCUCUAUUGCCGCCCUGUGAAGAGGUACCUCCACCAUGAUUAUAAGUUUCCUGAGGCCUCCCAGCCGUGCUGAACUGUGAGUAAUUAAACCUCUUCCCUUUCUAAAUUUCCCAGUCUCAGGUAUGUCUUUGUUAGCAGCACGAGAACAGACUAAUACAAUAUCAUUAUUAUUUUGUAAAUAAUAUUACAUAUCAUAUAUAUUAUGUGAUUAUAGUUUUCUGCAUUUUGUCAUUUUUAUGCUAUUUAUUAUUUUCUAACUCUAAAUAAAUAUUGACUUUCAUCCCUGACUUUGCAUUCUUUGAAUAUACAGCACUUUGUUUUUGUUUUGUUUUGUUUUGGUUUGGUUUGGUUUUUGAGACCAGGUCUCACUCUGUCGCCCAGGCUGGAGUGCAGCAGCAUGACUGCAACCUCCACCUCCUGCGUUCAAGUGAUUCUCCUGCCUCAGCCUCCUGAGUAGCUAGGACUACAGUCACAUGCCACCACACCCAGCUACUUUUUAUAUUUUUUGGUAGAGAUGGGGUUUCACCAUGUAGGCCAGGCUGGUCUCGAACUCCUGAUCUCAAGUGAUCCACCCGCCUUGGCCUCCCAAAGUGCUGGGAUUACAGGAGUGAGCCACGGCACCCAGCCAAGUAUAUAGCACUUUGUAUAAUCACUUUAUAUAAUGUUCUUUCUUAAAGAGGACUCCUCAUCUACGUAUCAAGACAGAGAUCCACAAAACUGGAUCUGUUCUGGAGUACAAGAGCUUUUUUCCAAAGAA
rnacentral:lncRNA from 10 species